rnacentral:rRNA from 1 species
AACGCAGGUGGUUUGGUAAGUCAGAGGUGAAAGACCACAGCUUAACUGUGGCACUGCCUUUGAUACUGCCUUUCUUGAGUAGAGUAGGGGGAAGCGGAAUUCCGAGUGUAGAGGUGAAAUUCGUAGAUAUUCGGAGGAACACCGGUGGCGAAGGCGGCUUCCUGGACUCUAACUGACACUCAUGUUCGAAAGCGUGGGUAGCAAACAGGAUUAGAUACCCUGGUAGUCCACGCCCUAAACGAUGGGCACUAGGUGUGGGAGGUAUCGACCCCUUCCGUGCCGCAGCUAACGCAUUAAGUGCCCCGCCUGGGGAGUACGGCCGCAAGGUUGAA